rnacentral:rRNA from 1 species
AGAGUUUGAUCAUGGCUCAGAACGAACGCUGGCGGCGUGCUUAACACAUGCAAGUCGAGUGCGCGUCCGUAGCAAUACGGAUGGCGCACGGCGCACGGGUGCGUAACACGUGGGCAAUCUGCCCUUCGAUGGGGAAUAACUCCGGGAAACCGAAGCUAAUUCCGCAUAACAUUCCUUGGACCUCGGUUCGAGGACUCAAAGCCGUAAGGCGUCGAAGGAGGAGCCCGCGCCCGAUUAGCUAGUUGGUGAGGUAACGGCUCACCAAGGCAAUGAUCGGUAGCUGGUCUGAGAGGAUGGCCAGCCACACUGGAACUGAGACACGGUCCAGACUCCUACGGGAGGCAGCAGUGGGGAAUCUUGCGCAAUGGGCGAAAGCCUGACGCAGCGACGCCGCGUGGGGGAUGAAGCAUCUCGGUGUGUAAACCCCUUUCGACUGGGACGAAUGCCUCGCAAGAGGAGUGACGGUACCAGUAGAAGAAGCCCCGGCUAACUACGUGCCAGCAGCCGCGGUAAGACGUAGGGGGCCAGCGUUGUUCGGAAUUACUGGGUGUAAAGGGUUCGUAGGCGGUGUGGCAAGUCGGGAGUGAAAUCUAUGGGCUUAACCCAUAGGCUGCUUCCGAAACUGCUGUGCUUGAGUGUGGGAGAGGCGCGUGGAAUUGCAGGUGUAGCGGUGAAAUGCGUAGAUAUCUGCAGGAACACCCGUGGCGAAAGCGGCGCGCUGGACCACAACUGACGCUGAGGAACGAAAGCUAGGGGAGCAAACAGGAUUAGAUACCCCCGUAGUCC